rnacentral:lncRNA from 1 species
UAUAUUGUGUAGUAAGCUGUUAGUAGCUCAUGUGCGUCACCCUAAUAAUUUGGUCUAUAUUCACCUCUUAAUUUCGCCAACUGUUCUGACUUGGUGGUGCACAUGUAGCCUUUAACCUGUUUUAGAGAAAUGUCAUCAUUGAAUAUUGUAAGAGCUUUCAUUGUCUGCUUAUAUGCCCCUUUAUUUAUCCUACGCUUCUGAGUUGGUGUUCAGGGAGAACAUUGUAAGAACGGCCCAUGUUCUGAAUUCUGUCGCUGUACAUUUCAAAAGUGCUGAACAAAUAGUUAUAUUGACUACGUCCAUCCUAGCUCGCUCAUUAAUGUCUUAAUCGAAGUUACGGAUCGCCUCUUAUCCGCUUGUCGUCCCCUUAUGCCAUAGUUUGAAUAUCUCAGUUCUUAGUAGAAACCACAUUUGUUUAAACAAGUCAGCCAUAUCAGCUAUGUUUUUUUUAAAGGCAGUAAAUGAGGCUGAAUGAACUGUUUCGCUGCCAGACAAGGCUCCGCUGAUAGCCAGGUGUAGCAGUGGUAAGGUGUUGGUACUGCUGUUGGGACUCUGCUGUUGGUACAGCUUUAUGUAGGCCCUAACAGUUUGUGGGCACCGUUUGUCACCGUUAUAGUGCAAUUAAUGUAUUGUUUAGUGUUGUGUUAUGUAGUGGCUUUGCUGGCAUGCAUCCCCCCCCAAAAUGUUUUAGUUUGCCCCACCAAGAUUUACAUGCUAAAAUCUCCACUGGAAUUGGGGCUGAAAUCAUAUCCUCCCCAGUCCAGCCGUCUCUCUCUAUACGCCGGUAUAGCAAUUGAGCCUGGCGGCGCUGUAAGUCUAAAGAUGCAACCAAGGUACCAGUCAUGCUUAGUUUCUGCUAUUCUAAUCCUUAUGUAUCCAACUGAACCCGGGUUUGAAAGACUAGGCCAGUCAUCAGGUCCAGGGAAGGUUACUUUAAUGGCCUCUGUUAUAUUCACAGAUUAGGGACAACAAACUGGGCAUGUGUGGCUAGAAACAGAGAUUGGAAUGGAACUAAUCUCAUCCCCAGUCCAGCCUCUCUGUAACUGAGCCUGGGGAGAAGGUUAAGAUGUAACCAAGGUUGAUUGUGUAGUAGGAUCCCCAGUCCAGCCGUCUCUGUAACUGAGCCUGGGGAGAAGGUUAAGAUGUAACCAAGGUUGAUUGUGUAAUAGGAUCCCCAGUCCAGCCUCUGUAACUGAGCCUGGGGAGAAGGUUAAGAUGUAACCAAGGUUGAUUGUGUAGUAGGAUCCCCAGUCCAGCCGUCUCUGUAACUGAGCCUGGGGAGAAGGUUAAGAUGUAACCAAGGUUGAUUGUGUAGUAGGAUCCCCAGUCCAG